GAGUUUGAUCCUGGCUCAGAUUGAACGCUAGCGGGAUGCCUUACACAUGCAAGUCGAACGGCAGCACGGACUUCGGUCUGGUGGCGAGUGGCGAACGGGUGAGUAAUGUAUCGGAACGUGCCUAGUAGCGGGGGGAUAACUACGCGAAAGCGUAGCUAAUACCGCAUACGCCCUAUGGGGGAAAGCAGGGGAUCGCAAGACCUUGCACUAUUAGAGCGGCCGAUAUCGGAUUAGCUAGUUGGUGGGGUAACGGCUCACCAAGGCGACGAUCCGUAGCUGGUUUGAGAGGACGACCAGCCACACUGGGACUGAGACACGGCCCAGACUCCUACGGGAGGCAGCAGUGGGGAAUUUUGGACAAUGGGGGAAACCCUGAUCCAGCCAUCCCGCGUGUGCGAUGAAGGCC
rnacentral:rRNA from 1 species